GACGAACGCUGGCGGCGUGCUUAACACAUGCAAGUCGUACGGUAAGGCCCUUUCGGGGGUACACGAGUGGCGAACGGGUGAGUAACACGUGAGUAACCUGCCCACAACUUUGGGAUAACGCUAGGAAACUGGUGCUAAUACUGGAUAUGUGCUCCUGCUGCAUGGUGGGGGUUGGAAAGCUCCGGCGGUUGUGGAUGGACUCGCGGCCUAUCAGCUUGUUGGUGGGGUAGUGGCCUACCAAGGCGGCGACGGGUAGCCGGCCUGAGAGGGUGACCGGCCAAUUGGGGAUUGAGAUAGGGCCCAGACCCCAAGGGGGGGCAGAAGGGGGGAAUGUUGCACAAGGGGCGAAAGCCUGACGCAGCACCCCCGGGGGCGGGAUGACGGCCUUCGGGUUGUAAACCGCUUUCAGCGGGGACGAAGGUUUUUGUGAGGGUACCGGCAGAAGAAGCACCGGCUAACUACGU
rnacentral:rRNA from 1 species